GGAGGCGUGGCAGAGCUGGCUGAAUGCACCGGUUUCGAAAACCGGAGUGCCUGAAAAGGUACCGGGGGUUCAAAUCCUCCCGCCUCCGCCA
rnacentral:tRNA from 1 species